rnacentral:rRNA from 1 species
AUGCCCCUAGACUUCACCAAGCACUUCCCGGCCCUGCUGACAGAGUUCAAACUCAAGACGAACACCGGCUGCUCAUGGAAGGUCACUAUGAGGCUGAUGAACGGCAGGAUCACUCUUUAUCAGGGUUGGGCCAUCUUCGCCGCCGUCCAUCAGAUCAAGGUCGGGUACAUGAUGACCUUCAAGUUGCUGACUCCCGACACGCUCGAGGUCAUCGUCUUCAACAACAACGACAUUUUAGUGGUGACCAAGUGCGGGAGGCACGAACCUUCAUUGUGA